AAUCUGAGCAUCUCGCUCUUACUCUAUUCCAGAAGCCCCAAUUCCAAUCAAAAAAUCUGAAGAGCCAGUGGAUCGCUUCCUCCGUAGCCAACAAAUCGCCGCCGUUCAGGCUCCGUGCGAAGGCACAGAACCGUGCCCCAUUGUCACACAGGGACCGCGCGCCGUUGCCGCGCAUGAACCACGCACCACCGCCGCGCAGACACCACCGCCGCGCAGGAGUCACACGCCGCCGGCUACUAGCAGAGGGGGAAACCCCCGAUUAUCUUAAAUUAACAUUUAUUUCUGAGCAAUUUCGAGUAAAUCAGGAAAAAUCCUACUGAUUCUUUGUGUGUCCUUGUGUUUCCCAGCGAAUUAUCAGUAGAGACCCAUUUUUGCUUGGGUUAUCGCUCGGUCUAGCGGCGCUUGAGGCGAGAAUCGUCGCUGCUGGCUUCAGAAAAUCGAGGGAAAAUCCCCAAUUCAGGGAGUCGGGCCUUUUUUCUUCAAAGUCUUUCCAUUGCCACAGCCCCCAACUUCCACGGGGACGGGCAUGGUUGAAAUCGAAGCUUCAACACUAACCGCCCACCACCACCGCGCAGGAGCUGCGUAUACCACCGGCCGCCACUUCCACCAAAGUCGGCAUUGUGUUUAAAACUUCUGCCACCAAAGCCGGUUCUGGUCCAGUUCGUCUUCAACAAGAAAGGGAAAAAUGGCCUUCCUCAAUUAGUUUAUACCACCAUGUUGAGCAAAGCUGCCUUGAAUGCUUAAAGGAGAGGGAGGAUAAAUGGUGGUGAAUCUGACCUGGGGAGGGGGGAGAAUCCUUGGCUAAUGGUGCACCUCUCCCGCGCAGGAACCAAAAAUAUGGCGCUGCCUCAUUUGACAGGGAAGAUUUAAAUUUCGUCUGCUUAUUUUACUGGCAAUCCAGAAAAUUGAGCUCAGUUUAUCUGUUCUUUUAGUCAUUGAUAUGUAUGUAUAGGGGGAAUGUCUAGGAUUUUUUGGAGAAUUUUGUGGGUUGCUAAAAUGCCUAAUCAAACUCAAGGGAUUUUAUGUGUUUAAUUGUGGGAUGGAUUUUCAGGAAUAUUGUUUGGUUAUCUAUGGUUAUAUGCAUAUUUUUCUGUGAGAUUGUGUUGCUUUGGGGUUAUAUUUGUACAUGAUGGGGUGUAGUUCAAUGAGUUUUGUCAAUUUACUUGAUGUUGAAAUACUUGAAAUACUUGAGUGCCGAAGCUAGUUAUGUUGACCAGUUCUUCAUUUAAUCAAGAGUAUGCUGCCUCACUUGACAGAUGUACUUGUGAUAUGUGGAGCAGGGUGAAUUUAUCGGGAAUUCGAGAUUUGAAGUAGCUGAAAAUUCAUGCAGCCGUUCGUAGCAGCUCUGGCCACUCCGGGAGUGUCGCCACUCUAAUCAGAAGCUCUGACUUCCGACGCAGCACCUCCUCCCUGCUCAGCCUGCGCAGCAGCGCCUCCUCUCUGCGCAGCCAGCGCAGCCGCCUCUCUCCCUCGUCGCUGCUUUGCUCGGCAGCGCAGCCGCCUCACGCCCUCAUCGCUGCUCUGCUCGGCAGCGCAGCCAGCGCAGCCGCCUCUCUCCCUAGUCGUUGCUCUGCUCGGCUGCGCAGCCAGCGCAGCCGCCUCUCUCCAGCGCCACCUCUCUGCUCAGCCUGCGCAGCCAGCGCCGCCUCUCU
rnacentral:lncRNA from 1 species